rnacentral:rRNA from 1 species
UUAACUUACACCAAAAACGCCAGGGAACUACGAGCAAUGCUUAAAACCCAAAGGAUUUGACGGUGUCCCACCCACCUAGAGGAGCCUGUUCUAUAAUCGAUAAUCCCCGCUAUACCCAACCACCCCUAGCUCUUCAGUCUGUAUACCUCCGUCGAAAGCCUACCAUGUGAACGUUUUCAGUAGGCCCAAUGAUCCCCAUCAAUACGUCAGGUCAAGGUGCAGCUCACGGAGUGGAAAGCAAUGGGCUACAAUUUCUAACUUAGAACAAACGAAAGACUAUGUGAAAUCACAGUCAUGAAGGCGGAUUUAGUAGUAAAAAGAAAAUAGAGAGUUCUUUUUAACCCGGCUCUGGGACGCGUACACACCGCCCGUCACCCUCUUCAACAACCUCCAUUAAGUCUAUAACCCUACACUAUACCUUAGAAGAGGCAAGUCGUAACAUGGUAAGUGUACUGGAAAGUGCACUUGGAUUACACAAAAUGUAGCUUAACUAAAGCCCCUCGCUUACACCGAGGCAAUGUCUGUUCGACCCAGAUCAUCUUGAGCCUAAAAUCUAGCCCACAUAAAUCCCAUGAAACCCUCAACCCACUGCCUACAACAAAACAUUUUAACAUUUUAGUACAGGAGAUCAAAAAAUUCCUAGGCGCUUCAGAUAUAGUACCGUAAGGGAACGAUGAAAUAAAAAUGAAAUAACUUUAAAGCCCCAAAUAGCAGAGACUCCCC